UAAUAAGCGUUUUAGCACAGAAGCCACGUACCGACUUCAUAGAGUUAUUAGUGCCGUAGAAGGCGUCAUGGUGAUAAGAUGGCCAAGGGAAACCGUUUGCGGUCGCCAUAUAUCAUGUCUGAGAGUGCGUGCUCAUUGGAGGAGAACAGCCAGAGCAGCAGUCCCGACUGGAAUUGGUCAAACUCCCGAACAGCUUAGGUCAAGGGAAAGUGUUGGCCGCCGGAUGAAGGGAGGAAUUAAUUUGCAAAAACACAUAUCAUCUGAAAUCUGGAGUUUCAUUUCCCUGAGGAAAACCCUUUGCCAGGAUCAGCAAAACGGAAAAAGGAGGAGUUUGGUACAUCAAGAAUCUUUUAUGUCUAGACUUUAGAGUUAGCAAAUGGCAUUGUUUAUACGGGCGAUCAUUUAAUAUUAAAUGUUUCUCAUA